AUUGAACGCUGGCGGCAGGCCUAACACAUGCAAGUCGAGCGGAUGAGUGGAGCUUGCUCCAUGAUUCAGCGGCGGACGGGUGAGUAAUGCCUAGGAAUCUGCCUGGCAGUGGGGGACAACGUUUCGAAAGGAACGCUAAUACCGCAUACGUCCUACGGGAGAAAGUGGGGGAUCUUCGGACCUCACGCUAUCAGAUGAGCCUAGGUCGGAUUAGCUAGUUGGUGAGGUAAAGGCUCACCAAGGCGACGAUCCGUAACUGGUCUGAGAGGAUGAUCAGUCACACUGGAACUGAGACACGGUCCAGACUCCUACGGGAGGCAGCAGUGGGGAAUAUUGGACAAUGGGCGAAAGCCUGAUCCAGCCAUGCCGCGUGUGUGAAGAAGGUCUUCGGAUUGUAAAGCACUUUAAGUUGGGAGGAAGGGCAGUAAGUUAAUACCUUGCUGUUUUGACGUUACCAACAGAAUAAGCACCGGCUAACUUCGUGCCAGCAGCCGCGGUAACAC
rnacentral:rRNA from 1 species